GCAGAAGUCCUGUAGCUCACUGGUAGAACACCUGCUUUGCAUGCAGAAGGUCCUAGGUUCAAUCCCUAGCUUCUCCA